rnacentral:rRNA from 1 species
AGGACGAACGCUGGCGGCGUGCUUAACACAUGCAAGUCGAGCGGAAAGGCCCUUCGGGGUACUCGAGCGGCGAACGGGUGAGUAACACGUGAGUAAUCUGCCCCUAGCUCUGGGAUAGGCUCCGGGAAACCGGGAUUAAUACCGGAUACGACCACCUUAGACAUCUUUUGUGGUGGAAAGAAUUUCGGCUAGGGAUGAGCUCGCGGCCUAUCAGCUUGUUGGUGGGGUAACGGCCUACCAAGGCGACGAC